UUAAAUCAUAUUCUGUUAAUGACAUUGUGCUGCAGCCUCAGACUGGGAUUAGUCAUUUUAAUUUCUUUUAGGAUUUCCCAGUGUGAUUGGCUGCAUAGAUGCACACACAUCCCCAUCACAGCUCCCUCACAUCAUGAACAGGAAGUCCAUUCACAGCAUAAAUGUGCAGAUCAUCUGUGAUGCUGCAUACAUCAUUUCUAAUGUGGAGGCCACGUGGUCUGGGUCUGUUCAUGACUCCAGGAUUUAUGGAGAGUCUAACCUGAGCAACAGACUGCAGCGUGGAGAGUUUGAUGGCCUUCUGCUGGGUGACAGGGGUUACCAUGCCAACCCAGGCUGAUGACCUCAUACCCUGACCCUGAACCAGGCCCCCAACAGAACUUCAACCGGACUCACUGCAGGACCACAGCCCGGGUGGAGAUGACCAUAGGCCUGCUGAAAGCCCGUUUCCAGAGCCUACGUCUCCUCAGGGUGACCCCUGAGAGGGCCUGUGAUAUUACUGUGGCAUGUGUUGUUCUUCAUAAUAUUACCACUAUUAGAGGAGAGCAACACCCUGCCCUACAAACUGAAGACCCAGAUGAUGAGCCCAUCCACCUGCAGCUAUCCAGGACAGCAGAGCAGUCAGAGACACCGUAUGCAAUAAUCACUUUAGAGUUUAAGUCUCCAUCAUCACCACCACAGCAAAUAAAGACAUGAUACACAUUU